UGCAGCAGGCGCGAAAUCUUUACAAUGCGGGUCACCGUGAUAAGGGGACACCGAGUGCCAGCAUCAUAUGCUGGCUGUCCAGAUGUGUAAAAUACAUCUGUUAGCAAGGGCCGGGCAAGACCGGUGCCAGCCGCCGCGGUAACACCGGCGGCCCGAGUGGUGAUCGUGAUUAUUGGGUCUAAAGGGUCCGUAGCCGGUUUGGUCAGUCUUCCGGGAAAUCUGACAGCUUAACUGGUAGGCUUUCGGGGGAUACUGCCAGACUCGGAACCGGGAGAGGUAAGAGGUACUACAGGGGUAGGAGUGAAAUCUUGUAAUCCCUCUAGGACCACCGGUGGUGAAGGCGUCUUACCAGAACGGGUUAGCCGGUGAGGGACGAAACCUGGGGCCACGAACCGGAUUAGAUACGCCGGGUAGUACCAGCGGUAAAAUAUAGUGCGUUAGAUGUCAGGCAAGCCGCGAUCCGUCUUUGGUGCCGCAGAGUAUGCCGGAAGCGACGCCAGCUGGAAGUUGUCGCGAUUCUU
rnacentral:rRNA from 1 species